GGUCACACUGCUGGGGGCGGGGAGGGAAGCCUGGCACCCAGUGACUAGACAUUCUGCCUCCCAGAGCACAGCCUCUGUCUGAACCCAUAUUUGGGGAACCAAGGAGAGAAGAUGCUGCUAAGUUUAGAAUCUCAAAGCAGCGCUCACAGCCUGUGAACGCAGAUGCAGAUGCGUUCUGGGCUGUUCUAAUGAGAGGACGUUUAUAUAAAGCUGUGGGAAAUGUAGCACUUCCUUGGAUACAAACACAGCCCCGUUACGCAGUGUCUCAGGAUUUUGUCUCAGUGACAGACAUUCGAUCCCUGGAGACCAGCUGACUCUCAAGAAUAUGUGUGAGCUGAGCGACAUCGGAGGGGACAGAAGCCUGUUCUGGGCCGACCCGGGGGUCCUUGGAUUUGGAGAACCACCUACUCCAGAGGAGUAGCUCCCCCAGAAGUGAUCAAACUGGGGUCAGAGGUGCCUGAGGACAGAGGGAGAGAGAGAAUCUUAAGCAGGCUCCACGCCCAGCACGGAGCCUGACAUGGGGCUCGAUUCCACGACCCUGAGAUCGACCUGAGCCAAAAUCAAGAGUCAGAUGCUCAAUCACCUGGGAUCUCCAGGCACCCCUCAAAGGGCUCCCGUAAUCAAAUAUUAUACUCACUCUGGAUCUACUGUCACUCAAAUGCCAAUGUUUAAAGAAUGGUAAUAAAGCACAUCAGUCACUGAAAA